GCUGCCUGGCGCUGACCGUUACGCCGCUGCAGUCCUGGGGGAUCGCCAUCCCCGCGACGCUGCUGUUGUCCGGUCCGUGGGUUUGGCGCAGGCAGAGCUCCUACCACCUUGCUGCUGAGGCGCUCCGUAGACCGGUGUGGGAUAUGGCGGUGAAGGCACUCAUGGCUGGCGGUAUCAGGGUGAGUCGCGAGGGCGUGCGAGCGCGUGAAGAAAGCGUGAGGGCGUGAAGAAAGCGUGAGGGCGUGAGGGCGUGAGGGGAGGGAAGAGAGAUGGGACAGGAGGGAUGUUACUGCAUCGCGGCCAUCGUGCUGGGAACCUGAUCAUGUGUAUCUUUACAGUGUGAAAACGGUAAGGAAAUAACGGUAAGGAAAACGUUUGAACAAGCUAUUUUCUUCGUACCAUCCCCAUCCAAGCAACCUGUUCCUCGCUCUCCACAUCAUAUACAAUACUUGAAUAUAUGUAAGGAAAGCCUACAAGAGCAGAAGAAACGAAGUACUCCCGACCCACUCCCUGGUUGGCGCCCUGUCCAGCUCCGCUUCAAGUCCAUGGCGCUGGUGAGCCUGGUAAGGACGGUGG
rnacentral:lncRNA from 1 species